GCUGCUUCCGCCGCCGCCGCCGCCACCGCCGCCGCCGCCGCCUCACAGGCCUUCUCCACCGAUCGGUCCCAAAUCGACUGACUGUCUCCUGGAAGCGGGGGCGGGGACGUCAGGAGGAUCCAUUCGGCAGGGCCUCGUUCAAUCGCUUCAUUCAAAUGCAGAAAGCUCUGUGCUCAGCUUCAGUCUGCAGGGCUUCAGGAGACGGAGCAUUUUAGUACUCAAUGAUGCCAAGACAAAAGGGUGAGAGAAAAUGGGAAACGUUCGUGGAGAUGGUCCUAGGCAGAUAGUGGAGGCAACUAGAAGACCUUCAGUCUCCGGGCCGGCUUUCAGGUUGAGACAAAAACCCUAAGGCAAGCGCUUGCUGCCACAGCACAUCGACUAACACGGGAACCAUCCAGAGAAGAUCAGCACGGCCCCUGAACGUGGACGACACACGCACAUACGUGAAGAGUUCCGUAGCUUUAGUGAUGUCAGUCACCCAGAGGAAGACAGAUAUCCUAUGCCAUCACUUCUAGGUGGGAUCUGAAAGUAAGUCAAGACACCCAUCCAUACAUAAAUAACUCCAUUUUAAAAAGACUCCAAGGAACCUAUUUACAAACCAGAAACAGACUGGACUCGCAGACAUGGAAAAGAAACCGAUGGUUAACACAGGGGACAGGGUAGGGUGGAGGAAUGGGGGAGGGCAGAGGGAUAAAUCAGGAGUUUGGGAUUAGCAGAUAUAAACCACCCUAUACAAACUAGGUACACAAGUAGGUCCUACUGUCUAGCACAGGGAACUAUGUUCAAUAGCUUGUAAUAACCUAUCCUGAAAAAGUAUACGUGUGUGUGUGUGUGUGUGUGUGUGUGUGUGUGUGUGUGUGUGUGAAUAAGUGAAUCACUAUGCCGUACGUCAUAAAUGAACACAACAUUGUAAGUCAACUAUACUUCCAUUGACAGAGAGUUCCUACAAUAAACAGGCAGGCAGGCAGGCAGGCAGGCAGGCAGGCAGGCAGGCAGGCAGGCAGACAGACAGACACAGACACAGACACAGACACACAGACACACAGACACAGACACACAGACACACACACACACACACACACACACACACACACACACACACACACACACACACACACACACACACCACAGACACAGGGGAACCCUAAGGAAAACGAGUAGCACUAGUAUCUCUUAUCCAUGCAUGUCUAUCCCAGUUUAAUGGAAACCUAAGUUUUUGCCUCCAAGUCAAUGAUGCUAAUAACUCUGCUGCCAAGAAUAGAAAAAUCCUCACGGAGGAUUUCUGAAUCCCAGAAGGGUCAGGGAGGGAGAAAAAGAGAAAGGGUUCCAUUCUGCUGACAGAGGUAUGAUAUUUACCAUGUGGGUGUCCGCCUCUAAAAGGGAAGGAAGGGGAAAAAACAAAAGUUUAUUUUCCCUUGUAUCUGAAAAGAAAAAAAUUUAAAACUCAA